rnacentral:rRNA from 1 species
GUGAGGAAUCUUCCGCAAUGGGCGAAAGCCUGACGGAGCGACACCGCGUGGAGGAUGAAGGCCUUUUGGUUGUAAACUCCUUUUCUGGGGGAAUAACUGAUGAAUGUACCCCAGGAAUAAGCACCGGCUAACUACGUGCCAGCAGCCGCGGUAAUACGUAGGGUGCAAGCGUUAUCCGGAAUUAUUGGGCGUAAAGCGUGCGUAGGCGGUUUGGCAAGUUUGAGGUUAAAUCUGAUCGCUCAACGAUCAAAAUGUCUCAAAAACUAUCAAACUAGAGGAUGAUAAAAGCAACUAGAAUUCUACAUGUAGGGGUAAAAUCCGUUGAUAUGUAGAGGAAUACCAAAAGCGAAGGCAGGUUGCUGGGUCAUUUCUGACGCUGUUGCACGAAAGCGUGGGGAGCAAACAGGAUUAGAAACCCCAGUAGUCC